rnacentral:tRNA from 1 species
GGGGGCGUGGCGCAAUGGUAGCGGUAGGUUUCCACUCGCACUGGAGUUUCCUGAAGGCUGUGCGUUCAAAUCGCACCGUCCUCA